rnacentral:rRNA from 1 species
UACGUAGGUGGCAAGCGUUAUCCGGAUUUAUUGGGCGUAAAGCGAGCGCAGGCGGUCUUUUAAGUCUAAUGUGAAAGCCUUCGGCUCAACCGAAGAAGUGCAUUGGAAACUGGGAGACUUGAGUGCAGAAGAGGACAGUGGAACUCCAUGUGUAGCGGUGAAAUGCGUAGAUAUAUGGAAGAACACCAGUGGCGAAGGCGGCUGUCUGGUUUGUAACUGACGCUGAGGCUCGAAAGCAUGGGUAGCGAACAGG